CAGUAGCCACGGUAAAACGUAGGGUGCAAGCGUUAAUCGGAAUUACUGGGCGUAAAGCGUGCGCAGGCGGUUAUAUAAGACAGAUGUGAAAUCCCCGGGCUCAACCUGGGAACUGCAUUUGUGACUGUAUAGCUAGAGUACGGCAGAGGGGGAUGGAAUUCCGCGUGUAGCAGUGAAAUGCGUAGAUAUGCGGAGGAACACCGAUGGCGAAGGCAAUCCCCUGGGCCUGUACUGACGCUCAUGCACGAAAGCGUGGGGAGCAAACAGGAUUAGAUACCCCUGUAGUCCCUGUCUCUUAUAA
rnacentral:rRNA from 1 species